rnacentral:rRNA from 1 species
UCUAAACGACUCUCGGCAACGGAUAUCUCGGCUCUCGCAUCGAUGAAGAACGUAGCGAAAUGCGAUACUUGGUGUGAAUUGCAGAAUCUCGUGAACCAUCGAGUCUUUGAACGCAAGUUGCGCCCGAAGCCAUUAGGUUGAGGGCACGUCUGCCUGGGCGUCAC